GGGUCCGCACAAGCGGUGGAGCAUGCGGAUUAAUUCGAUGCAACGCGAAGAACCUUACCAAGGCUUGACAUAUAGAGGAAAAGUGCAGAAAUGCACUCCCCGCAAGGUCUCUAUACAGGUGGUGCAUGGUUGUCGUCAGCUCGUGUCGUGAGAUGUCGGGUUAAGUCCCGCAACGAGCGCAACCCUCGUCCUAUGUUGCCAGCACGUAAUGGUGGGAACUCAUGGGAUACUGCCGGGGUCAACUCGGAGGAAGGUGGGGAUGACGUCAAAUCAUCAUGCCCCUUAUGUCUUGGGCUUCACGCAUGCUACAAUGGCCGGUACAGAGGGCUGCAAUACCGCAAGGUGGAGCGAAUCCCAAAAAGCCGGUCUCAGUUCGGAUUGGAGUCUGCAACUCGACUCCAUG
rnacentral:rRNA from 1 species